AGAGUUUGAUCCUGGCUCAGGAUGAACGCUAGCGGCAGGCCUAAUACAUGCAAGUCGGACGGUAAGCGCCCCUCGGGGGUGCGAGAGUGGCGCACGGGUGCGUAACGCGUAUGCAACCAACCCCCCGCUGCGGGACAGCCGGUGGAAACGCCGGGUAAUACCGCACGCGGUCGGAGAGAGGCAUCUCACUCCGAUGAAAGAUUCAUCGGCGGGGGACGGGCAUGCGUGCCAUUAGCUGGUUGGCGGGGGCAACGGCCCACCAAGGCUACGAUGGCUAGGGGAUCUGAGAGGACGGUCCCCACACUGGUACUGAGACACGGACCAGACUCCUACGGGAGGCAGCAGUAAGGAAUAUUGGGCAAUGGGGGGAACCCUGACCCAGCCAUGCCGCGUGAGGGAGGAAGGCCCUACGGGUUGUAAACCUCUUUUGCCGGGGGACAAGGCGCGCCAUGCGUGGGGCGUUGCGGUUACCCGGUGAAUAAGCGUCGGCUAACUCCGUGCC
rnacentral:rRNA from 1 species